rnacentral:rRNA from 1 species
UACGUAGGGUCCGAGCGUUGUCCGGAAUUAUUGGGCGUAAAGGGCUCGUAGGCGGUUUGUCACGUCGGGAGUGAAAACUCAGGGCUCAACCCUGAGCGUGCUUGCGAUACGGGCAGACUAGAGGUAUGCAGGGGAGAACGGAAUUCCUGGUGUAGCGGUGGAAUGCGCAGAUAUCAGGAGGAACACCGGUGGCGAAGGCGGUUCUCUGGGCAUUACCUGACGCUGAGGAGCGAAAGCAUGGGGAGCGAACAGG